ACAUACCUCUUGCACAUGCCCUCACAUCGUCAGGGUUGAUUUGGCUGAUCUGGCUGGCUAGGCGGGUGUCCCCUUACUCCCUCACAGCUCCAUGUGCAUCCCUACCGAAGCUGCACGCUUGGGGGAAGAGGACGACAUCCCAGGUAUAGAAGGAGUGUACCUCUUGCACA
rnacentral:snRNA from 1 species